rnacentral:rRNA from 1 species
GACGUAGGAGGCGAGCGUUGUCCGGAUUCAUUGGGCGUAAAGAGCGCGCAGGCGGCUUGGUAAGUCGGAUGUGAAAACCCGAGGCUCAACCUCGGGCGUGCAUCCGAAACUGCUCGGCUAGAGGUAGGUAGGGGAGAUCGGAAUUCCUGGUGUAGCGGUGAAAUGCGUAGAGAUCAGGAGGAACACCCGGGGCGAAGGCGGCCCUCUGGCUCGACCCUGACGCUGAGGCGCGAAAGCGUGGGGAGCGAACGGG